GGAACGUUGCCCUAUCUACUCCAACUUGGUGAGUGAUCUACAUCAUCUCACUACCUAACCAUCUGGUCGAAAAGGAGUAGCAAUAGAUUGGCACUAGAGUAAGGGUCCCCCUGAUACUAUUUUCUAGAAGAAGAUAGUGAGAACUCGAUCUCAGAACUAUCUCGCCACAUCGUGUCAACAAUCGUCCCUACAUAGCGCACUUGGCGCAUGAAAUCCAAAUCCCAUCAACAUGCUAACAGAACAAGUCCAAGCACUCACGACU
rnacentral:lncRNA from 1 species